GCUUAGUCGUAAACAUUGACAACGUUGUCCGCUGGGAAUUACGAGCGCCAGCUUAAAACCCAAAGGACUUGGCGGUGCUUUAGAUCCACCUAGAGGAGCCUGUUCUAGAACCGAUACCCCCCGUUCAACCUCACCCUUCCUUGCCCGCCUAUAUACCGCCGUCGUCAGCUUACCCUGUGAAGGACUUAUAGUAAGCAAAAUUGGCACAGCCCAAAACGCCAGGUCGAGGUGUAGCGUAUGGAAGGGGAAGAAAUGGGCUACAUUCUCUCGAGCACUGAAAGAAGGAGGAUUUAGCAGUAAGCAGGAAAUAGAGUGUCCUGCUGAAAUUGGCCCUGAAGCGCGC
rnacentral:rRNA from 1 species